ensembl:misc_RNA
AUAACAGCUUUUCAGCUCUGAAGGUUUAUAUUUAUACACAGAGUAGGUACAGUGCAGGCUUUGGCAGUGCAAGCUUCAUCACAGUGACCUGCCAGUGUGCCUCAGCCCUCACAAAGGGGAACAAGCUAAAGGAACAAGAGGGCAAUUCAGUCACUAUGUCUAUUCAGCCUUUCCCCUU